UUUUAUUCAUAAUAAACCCCAUGUUAACCACUAAUCAUUCAUUUCUUCCAUCACUCGUCAUUCAUUUCUUCCAUCACUCGACAUGAUUGUUGUGAGUUACAAGAUGUGCAUAAAGCUAAGUUUGGGGUGGUAAUCUUGAAAGAUGGGGCAAGUGCAUAAUAAGAGAUCAUACAAAAAGAAGAGAUUUGUGUAUGUCCAAAAAAAGAAAACAAAAACAAAAGAGAAAAAUGCACUUGCCAAGACUGAAGACUCUAACACCUGUAAAAUGCUCACAGAGAAUUGAGUAAAAAGAGUCAAAAGUGAAUAAAC
rnacentral:lncRNA from 1 species